AUCUGCUUUCCCUUAGAAGCAUUCGCUAUUUGCUCGAACAUGCUUAAAGCCGAGGGAUGAGUCAGAAUCCAAGAAUUUUUCUCUUCAGUUUCAGAUAAAGAAGCGGUGGAUUUGACACGGGUAGGAGAAGAAUCUCUCAUAGAAUCAACCCAAGCAUUAGUUUUUGCUGCUGCUCCUCCCGUUUCAAUCUUCUUUGCAAGGCUAGGAGCAGGUAAUGGAUUCGGCACAGCCGGUGAAAAUAUAGAUUUGCGCACGAUAAACCUGAUCCUACUCGAUUUGGCAUCGGAUGCUACAACAUUCUGGUUCGUCAUUUCCACUUUUCAACAGGCAGCAGAGGGAAGAACACACACUGAAGAUUUGAGAAGA
rnacentral:misc_RNA from 1 species